UCUCUCUCUCUCUCUCUCUCAGUUCUACGAUGGCAUACUCUCCCAGUACGUGUACUUUACUCUCUCAUCUCAAUUCCUCUAUGCUUAUUCCCUCGUCCAAUUUACACUCUCUUCUUUCUGCUUCUUACUCUUUCAACCCGCCAAUUCGACCUCAUAAUCGUCGUCGUUUUCGUAUUCUUGCUUCUUCUGCAAACGCAACUAUUGAGUCUGGCAAUGGCGCUGUUCCUGCUCCCACUGUGAAGCUCGAACCCUCUUCCUAUGGAAGGCAGUACUUCCCUCUAGCUGCUGUUGUUGGCCAGGAUGCUAUCAAAACUGCCCUAUUGCUUGGUGCUAUUGAUCGUGAGAUUGGAGGGAUUGCCAUUUCUGGAAGGCGAGGAACAGCCAAGACAGUAAUGGCACGUGGACUGCAUGCUAUUUUGCCUCCCAUUGAUGUAGUUGUUGGCUCAAUAGCAAAUGCAGAUCCAGCCUGCCCUGAAGAGUGGGAAGAUGGUUUAGCUGAGCGAAUAGAAUAUGAUUCCAAUGGUAGUAUUAAGACUCAAGUUGUUAGAUCUCCUUUUGUUCAGAUUCCACUGGGGGUCACAGAGGACAGACUCAUUGGGUCUGUUGAUGUUGAGGAGUCUGUGAAAACGGGAACUACUGUCUUCCAGCCAGGCCUUUUAGCUGAAGCUCAUAGAGGCGUUUUAUAUGUUGAUGAAAUUAAUCUUUUGGAUGAGGGUAUUGGUAAUUUGCUUCUGAAUGUAUUGACAGAGGGGGUUAAUAUUGUGGAAAGAGAGGGAAUCAGCUUUAAACAUCCAUGCAAGCCACUUUUGAUUGCUACUUAUAACCCAGAAGAGGGUGCUGUUCGUGAACACUUACUAGACCGUAUUGCAAUUAAUUUGAGUGCAGAUCUUCCAAUGAAUUUUGAAGAUCGUGUUGCCGCUGUUGUUAUUGCAACUCAAUUUCAGGAAUGUAGUAAUGAAGUUUUUCAAAUGGUUGAGGAAGAGACUGAAUUAGCAAAGACCCAGAUCAUUUUGGCAAGAGAGUAUUUGAAGGAUGUUACUACUAGCAGGGAGCAGUUAAAGUACCUGGUUAUGGAAGCCCUUCGAGGUGGCUGCCAGGGACACAGAGCUGAGCUAUAUGCUGCUCGCGUGGCAAAAUGCUUGGCUGCUCUUGAAGGACGUGAAAAAGUCAAUGUGGAUGACCUGAAAAAAGCUGUGGAACUGGUUAUUCUUCCUCGUUCAAUCAUAAAUGAGAGUCCACCAGAACAGCAAAAUCAGCAGCCUCCUCCACCACCCCCUCCACAAAAUCAGGAUUCUGGAGAUGAGCAGAAUGAAGAGGAAGAUCAAGAGGACAAUGAUGAAGAGAAUGAACAACAGCAGGAACAAAUACCUGAAGAAUUUAUAUUUGAUGCAGAAGGAGGCUUGGUGGAUGAAAAACUUCUCUUCUUUGCACAACAAGCACAGAGACGCCAAGGGAAAGCUGGAAGAGCAAAAAAUGUCAUAUUUUCAGAGGAUAGAGGUCGAUAUAUCAAACCAAUGCUGCCAAAGGUUUCUUCUUCUUAUACCCACCUCAUGGGGUUCGAAAAGACAUGAAAAUUCUACCAAGACCAUCACUUAUCUUUCUUCAUUCUGGCCUCAUGUUGAGUUUUAUAUGAGUGCAUAUUAUGUGGCACAGAACACCAGCUUAUGAGUGACUGGUCCUUUUCUGUAUUUUGCUAAUCUUUAAUUGCUUUCCUUGUUCAAUUAUUUGCUUAGACCAUCUCUUCUAAACAUCCUCCAUACUUUUAACAGGGUCCUGUAAAGAGAUUAGCAGUUGAUGCUACCCUUAGAGCAGCUGCACCAUAUCAAAAAUUACGUAGAGAGAAGGACACUCAAAAAAGUAGGAAAGUUUUUGUUGAGAAAACUGAUAUGAGGGCAAAAAGAAUGGCAAGAAAAGCCGGAGCAUUGGUAAUGAUUGAUACUCUUAUUACUUGCACUAUCCUUGAUUUUGUUUGAAGAAAAAGAAUGAAUCUUCUUACAAUGUCAAGUGGCUCUGCUUUUGUAUUCAUUUCAACGUUGUCAGUGCUUUGAUGUUGUGAUGAGCAUGGUAUGACAAUAUCCAUUUCCAAUUGGCAUCGAUUGCCGUAAAUAGAAUCUCGGAGACUUCAACUAAACUGUUGGACCUUCUCUACAAUGUGUGUUGGAGAGAGGUCCACUGAAUGCACUGAUAAAACUUCUGAUGUAUUUUGGUUCUAAAAUAUAUAGUGCAUGGCAGGUGAUAUUUGUAGUUGAUGCAAGUGGAAGUAUGGCAUUGAAUCGAAUGCAAAAUGCAAAAGGUGCUGCACUUAAGUUACUAGCUGAGAGUUAUACAAGCAGGGAUCAGGUAGAUUUUGUAUUCAUCUUGUAGUUCUAUAAUCUUCUUUGUUUAAUGAAGUUAGCUUCUGGUAGUUCACAAAAUUUUAAAAUAUUAGAACAACAUUCAUGCCAUCAAAUGAUUAGCAAUGCAGCAAUAGGAAACUUAUUUAUUAAAAUUAUUUGACAAAAAAAAAAAUGCAAAUUUUGGUUUGGGGUUGUAGAGCUAAGCUCUACAAAUUAUAUUUUUAGCUGUAAUAACUUGCUUUGUACCAUCAACACCUGGAUGUCGACAUAUGUAGAAGCCAUUAUUUGACUGAAUUUAUUUCAUAAGAUUCACAUAAUUUUUUAAUUUACUCAUGGCAGUUUUAGUGAAAAUGGAAAUGACAGAUGAGUAGAAGCUUUGAGCAUAGAACAUUGCUUUGGAAUUGUUAAUAGGCUGUCUGAGUUGUGUCAAUUCAAAUUUGUAAAGGGAGCUUAUAUGAUAAAUAACUAGUUGAAAGGAAAGAAUGGUGCUCCCAGCUUAGUACUCGGUAGAUAGCAUAUUCGAAGCAAAGGUUGAUCUGAAAGGAAAUGGUUUCAGUUCAGAAGACUUGUCCAGUUUGACCAAUCAAGCUUCUUCUUCUUCUUCAUCUUCUUGUCUCUUUAUUUUUUAGAUGGACCAAAAGAGUGGGAAACUGUGUAUGAAAAUGAAGUCAUGUGCAAAUGCCCUAAAUGCAGUAUAAAUGGCAGAAUAUUUUGAGUUCUCAGAGGGUGCAAAAAUAUAUAUAUAUUUUUAAAAAUUUUAUAUAUGUUCAUGAGAAGCUGGUCAAAAAUAUUUUAAAAAUGGGGUGAACGCUAACAUAUUUUUAAAGGAGGAUAUGGUAUUAAACAAAUAACAACAAUGUAAAUUGAAGUUUUUGAAUGCAAAAUAGAAUUGAUACUUAUUUUAAUUUUUUGGGGCUUUUGUUCUUCAUGGACUCUACAGAGACAAUAUUUCCACAUUGCUGUUACUAAGCUUUUGUAUGGUUAUGUGAAGUAGGUAGCUAUUAUUCCCUUCCGUGGGGAUUCUGCAGAGGUCCUUUUGCCUCCUUCCAGAUCAAUUGCAAUGGCAAGAAAACGUCUUGAAAGGCUUCCAUGUGGUGGUGGUUCACCCUUGGCUCACGGUCUAACAACUGUAAGUAGAUGUAGUUCAUUUGCUUCUUUGCUUGUAUCUUGAACAAAAAAAAUGCCCUAUCAUUUGCAAUUUCCUAUUUGAGCAUAGGCAUAAUUAGAAUUUGUGCAUAAAAUUCUGAAUUUAUGUGUUACAUUGUGAAUGACUUCACGUUUAUUUGCCAGAAACUGACCUAAUUUGUCAUGAACUUAUUUUCCGUUGUCUUGCUUUUUCAAAUUGGAUAAACAUGCACACACUUUUUGUGAAUUUUGCAUUUCUAACUUCCACUAGCUUAACUUUGCUCAGGCUGUUAGAGUUGGGUUAAAUGCAGAAAAAAGUGGUGAUGUUGGGCGAAUAAUGAUUGUUGCAAUAACUGAUGGUAGAGCCAAUAUAUCACUGAAAAGGUCUACUGACCCUGAAGCUGCUUCUUCCGAUGCUCCAAGACCUUCGGCACAAGAAUUGAAGGUAAAGAUUGUGCACUGUAAUAGGACAUUUAGCACAUGUAAACUGCAAUGCCAACCUGCUAAAAAAAGGAUGGGCUUUUGCCAAAGUAAUGCAUUGAUACUAAACAGAAUAAGAAAACAGCCUUCCAUAUAAGGUUGAUUUAAUAGUCAUUCAGAACUAUCUUGUCUUUCUAAUUUCUCUGCUAAACCAUAUUUGUGGAUUGAUGAAGUUACUUUCGCCCCAAAUGUCACCAUGUCAUUCUUGUGUGCUUUCAUUAUUUGAUCUGGUAAAAGGAUGAGAUUCUUGAAGUGGCGGGGAAAGUAUACAAGGCCGGGAUGUCUCUUCUCGUCAUAGAUACAGAAAACAAAUUUGUUUCGACUGGCUUUGCUAAGGAGAUUGCAAGAGUUGCUCAAGGAAAAUAUUACUACUUGCCCAACGCUUCUGAUGCUGUUAUUUCUGCUACGACAAGGGAAGCUUUAUCAGCCUUAAAGAGUUCAUAGUUUUAUGUUCCUGGGAAGCGAUUCUGCAUUGGGAAAUGUACUUGUCAGAAUUGUUAUCACUGAUCGUCCCUGCUUCUGGUAUUAUCGAAUUUUGUUAGGCCUUUUCUUCUUUCCUCCUUCCAAAAGAUUACGUGUAUGUUAGAUUUGAAGCAAAAUGUUCUCUCCGUGAUCUUUUUUCAAGGUUUGCAGCCCAAAUAUAAACAUUUGACGUUUGGAAAUUUUAUAAAUUUUGCAGGCCAACCCCAUCUCCUCCAAGCUUCAAAAAUAAAUAAAUAUGAAAUUUGUCCCA
rnacentral:misc_RNA from 1 species